rnacentral:rRNA from 1 species
GAUGAACGCUAGCGGCGGGCUUAAUACAUGCAAGUCGAGGGGUGGUAGCAAUACUACACCGGCGCACGGGUGCGUAACGCGUAUGCAAUCUACCUUUAUCGGGGGGAUAGCCCGGGGAAACCCGGAUUAAUAACGCAUAAGUAAGUAACUAGGCAUCUAGUAGCUUGGAAAGAUUUAUCGGAUAAAGAUGAGCAUGCGUAAGAUUAGAUAGUUGGCGAGGUAACGGCUCACCAAGUCUACGAUCUUUAGGGGCUCUGAGAGGAGAAUCCCCCACACUGGCACUGAGAUACGGGCCAGACUCCUACGGGAGGCAGCAGUAGGGAAUAUUGGGCAAUGGACGCAAGUCUGACCCAGCCACGCCGCGUGCAGGAAGAAGGCCCUCUGGGUUGUAAACUGCUUUUGACUGGGAAGAAAAGACCUCUUGCGAGAGGAGUUGACGGUACCAGCAGAAUAAGCCACGGCUAACUACGUGCCAGCAGCCGCGGUAAUAC